UCAGCGACACACUCUUAAUGUAAAAUGUGCGAUACAGAAAUAGCCUUUUUUGAUUUUUUUUAAACAUCCAGUAAAUUAUUUGAAGUCGUCAUGAUAUUUGAAAUAUCUACGUACGACAGCGUUUAUGUAUGUCGAGGAUAGUCACCGUCUGAACGACAUAGUCGACAUUAAAGAAUCAAGUCUACGCUUGAAUUGAAUUGAAACCGAUUAAAGCGUCUGUUGAUUAACAGCUGGGCAGCAGUCAUGAUUAUAAAAAAAAAAGUUUCACUUGGCAGAGAUUUUGAAAAUUCUUGUACCUACCAGCAAGCAAAGUUCAGAAAGGUGUUAUGAAGAUAAAGUAUAUACCUACGUAUCCAAUGCCAGAUCCCAAAACACCAAGUCACUACAUAAACUCAGUGAACAAAGAAAACAAAGAUAUUCUGUGUUACUGGUGUCAUAAAGUUGAAGGAUAAAGUUGUAUGAUUAAAUUGCUCCAUGGGAAAUUUAGGGGAUCAGAGAUUUCCCAUUACAUGUGGUUUGUCCAGAUACAAUUCAUGGUAUACACAAUUCACUGACAUUAAAGGUUUUGCCUGAAAUAUUUCAUGCUUAGAUUUCAGUGAAUUACUUUAAUUAAUUUUCAAUUUCAGUCAAUGAACAAUUUUGAAGUUGUAAACAAGGCAAAUGUGGAUUGUAGGUGGCGAUUACGAAAGGUGUUAAUUAGCGGGUAAAGAUAGGAAUCUUCAAAACUUCUUCAAGUGAAUAAUUUCUUUUCAUAACUUGUCCCCAGCUGUUAAUCAAUGGACUGACUAACAACUUUAUCGUUAUACAAAAGAAUAACACCUGCUAAUUUAAUUAUAACUGUUUUGGCCAUUUUAAA